rnacentral:rRNA from 1 species
CAGUCGCCGCGGGAAUACGUAGGGUGCGAGCGUUAAUCGGAAUUACUGGGCGUAAAGCGUGCGCAGGCGGUUCGUUAAGACAGAUGUGAAAUUCCCGGGCUUAACCUGGGAACUGCAUUUGUGACUGGCGAGCUAGAGUAUGGCAGAGGGGGGUAGAAUUCCACGUGUAGCAGUGAAAUGCGUAGAGAUGUGGAGGAAUACCGAUGGCGAAGGCAGCCCCCUGGGCCAAUACUGACGCUCAUGCACGAAAGCGUGGGGAGCAAACAGGAUUAGAGACCCGAGUAGUCCCUGUCUCUUAUAC